rnacentral:antisense_RNA from 1 species
UAUAUUAAGAAAAACUGAGAAUGUACUGGUGAAUGAUCACCCAAUGCAGGAAAAUGGUCCAAAUUAACAAAGAAUAUCACUGCUCAGUACUUUAGAAAAUAAAACUAAAAUCUGCCCUGAAGUGCUAAGUAGUUUUAAAAGCAAUGUUUCAAAUUUUAAGGUAUCUUUUUGUGCAAAUCUGAAAAUUGUUGCUUAUGGCCAAUACCAAAAAAUAAAAAAUUCUUAGCAUAAUUUGUGUUCAUUUCAUGCCCUGUGCCAUCUUGCCUACUAUUUGUCUUUGGCCUAACAAAGUUUUCUAAUAUGGAAUAAGAAUUACGGAAAUGGUAUAGGAAAUAUAACUUCAGAAUUAUGCAGUUUAGGGUACUCCAUUCACGAGUGGUUGCUGACCAUCCACGCUGUCUGGCUUCUCUUUCUUCUGGUUACGAUCUUUACCCGUGCGCAGCCGACUACCUUCACUGGAGGUAUUCUGUAAUGUUUUAGUGUGGACACUCCUUUCAUUAUUGCAGUCAACUCUGAUCUGAAGGGAUCCAUCUGUUGUUCUUCCUUUAGCCUCUCUUGGAUUACGUGGACGAUUAUCUGUUCGGGAGUGAUCGUCGUUUCCUUUGAAGCCUCCUCCACGUCCUCUUCCUCCUUGUCCUCUUCCUCCCCCU